UUAAAGUACUGACUGAAGUUUCUUGAAAAUCAAUACUUGUUAGCAUUAAAACAAAAUCACAGAGCAUAAGUUAUUAAUAAUUCAUUUAAUCUUUUCAAAAAUAAUCAUUGUUUACCUUCUUCGACAAAGGCGAACUUAUUAAAUUUUCAUGCAUGUGUACUUACAUAAAUACACAAUUUACAAAGUCUUUUCAAAAUAUGUUUGAAACAUUUAUUGCCAUCCAUUUAUGCCAUUCUAUGGCUAAAGGGUAUGCAUCAAAUAUAAGCAAAAUUUGUCGAUUUGCUUUGCUAUGUAACUGAGGGUUUGUUUUCUCUUAAGGUCGACGGCCUUUGAAUCUUCGAGUAGCAGCCGUGACAUUAUUUUUCGAAGCUUGUUA